rnacentral:snRNA from 1 species
CCGCUCACGCCCGGUCGUACUC